GGAAUAUUCCACAAUGGGGGGAACCCUGAUGGAGCGACGCCGCGUGAGUGAAGAAGGGCUUCGGCUCGUAAAGCUCUUUUCCUAAGGACGAAUGACCUUUUUGAAGGGAGAGACGGUACUUGGGGAAUAAGCCACGGCUAACUACGUGCCAGCAGCCGCGGUAAUACGUAGGUGGCAAGCGUUGUCCGGAAUUAUUGGGCGUAAAGGGAGCGCAGGCGGGAUGUCAAGUCUAAAUUAAAAGAUCGGGAGUAAUGCCCGUUAAGGUUUGGAAACUGACAUUCUUGAGAGCAGGAGAGGCAAGCGGAAUUCCCGGUGUAGCGGUGAUAUGCGUAGAUAUCGGGAGGAACACCAGUGGCGAAGGCGGCUUGCUGGACUGUGUCUGACGCUGAGGCUCGAAAGCCAGGGUAGCGAACG
rnacentral:rRNA from 1 species